CCUACGGGAGGCAGCAGUGAGGAAUAUUGGUCAAUGGACGAGAGUCUGAACCAGCCAAGUAGCGUGAAGGAUGACUGCCCUAUGGGUUGUAAACUUCUUUUAUAUGGGAAUAAAACAGGGUAUGCAUACCCUCUUGUAUGUACCAUAUGAAUAAGGAACGGGUAACUCCGUGCCAGCAGCCGCGGUAAUACGGAGGAUCCGAGCGUUAUCCGGAUUUAGUGGGUUUAAAGGGAGCGUAGGUGGAUUGUUAAGUCAGUUGUGAAAGUGUGCGGCUCAACCGUAAAAUUGCAGUUGAAACUGGCAGGCUUGAGUACAGUAGAGGUGGGCGGAAUUCGUGGUGUAGCGGUGAAAUGCUUAGAUAUCACGAAGAACGCCGAUUGCGAAGGCAGCUCACUGGACUGCAACUGACACUGAUGCUCGAAAGUGUGGGUAUCAAACAGGAUUAGAUACCCUGUC
rnacentral:rRNA from 1 species